CUAGAUAGUAGCUUAAGUUAAAGCACUGAAUUUGUAAUUCAUAGAAGGUAGCACUACCCAUCUAGG
rnacentral:tRNA from 2 species